CUAAUAUCGUCUAGAUGUAACAACUUUUGGUUUGCACCAGAUACCGAUAUGCUUUGUAGUGUCACUUGGAUGCUAUGAACACCAUAAGAUGUGAAAGUCUUAGUGUAUUUGAUGGGUGAGCCAUACUAGAUGCAAAAUUGACCACAUAUGGUGAUGUACCAAAGGUUGUAGUAGUUACAAACAACUACCCUAAGUUGGUAGGAGGUCGGCUCUUUCUCAAUGAAACAUCUGGCAUUCAUCUAUUUUGAUCAUUAGUGUAGUGCCAGCA